CUGCCCUGGGGAGCCUGUUCCAGUGCCCAACCACCCUCAGGAUGAAGAACCUUUGCUAAUAUCCAACCUAAACAUCCCCCGACUCAGCUUCUUGCCGUUUCCUUGGGUCCUGUCAGUGGUAACCAGAGCGAAGAGAUAGUGCCGGCCGCUCCACUUCCCCUUGUGAGGAUGUUGAAGACCGCAGUGAGGUUCCCCUCAGACUCCUCCGGGCUGAACACGCCAAGUGACCUCAACACCCUGCCUAGGAUUAGGUGAUGCUGCUCUCAAAGACUGCCACCUUGCAUCAGAGGCUCCUGGGAGGUUUUGCUGUUUGUAGAGUCCCAAACAGCUGGUGCCAUGCAGGGAGAGCAAGCUGAAGGGUCAAGAGGAUGUCAGGGUCACCUGGAAUGAUCUCAGCAUUUCCACACGAGCAGUAGAGAGCUGCUAUUUCUAGUGUCAGACUUGCUUUCUGGUCCAACAGACCACACUUUGAAUUCUGCGAGAUGUGUGUGGCUGGCUGAAUUUCAGUACUGCAGGCUUUGUGCAGAAAAUGGUGGACUUCACUGCUGGCAUCAGUGUAAGAAAGGAAGGUUUUCUUAGAAGCUUCCUGAUGUGUUACCCGAAGUCCCUUAAGCAUCUCUAACCAGAGGAGGAUGCUUCCUUGUCUCCAGUACUACAAAGCAGUUUCUGAUUUGAGGCAGAAGAUGGGAACUGGGAGGAAGGGCAAUUGACUGUGCUCAUGCCAACUGUUGGGAUGAUGCUGCAACACCCUGGCCUGGCCUGAUUGCUGGAAAAAUGACAGAGAAUUGAGGUGGAAGGGUGUUAACUAUGCAAGUCCUUAUUGGUUGUUUAAACUCUUCUGGUUUUUUUUACAUCAGUACAAUUUUUCUUGGAUUACCAGGAAACUGAGAGAGCACCGACCUGCAUUUUGCAACAGAGCCCUUGUUACAGCAGUGCUGAAUAUUGGCAGAUACUUCAGACUCUGCAGCCAGGAGAAAACAAGCAUCCUUCCUCCCCAGAAAGUGUGGGAGUGUGCCUGUUGCAGAAGUUGCUGUCACAUCAAGGAGAAAGUUGGGAUGUUGUAGGGGUGCUGAGCCUGAAUGACCUGAGUGAAAGCAGAUACUGUCCUGCACGUGCCUGGAAGAGGUUUUGCAGGAAGGUCCUUAUGAGCACAGCUUAGUGCCAGAGCCCUUGGCCUCCCCUUUCCUUUUGUCUUGGGGCUGAUGGCUGAAAUGCCGCUUGUCCAGGAAUCGGAUGAUUUCCCAGUCACUAUUCUGUUCCUGGAAAAGCUUUUUCUGCUAAUGAGGGCCUUAUGUUUAUGAUUUGCUUUGCUAUGCAGAAAAGCUUCUACUGGGACUGUAAUGCAGAAGACAACAUUUGUCUCCUUCUCCAAGAGAUGAUCUGAGUCAGUGAGUUGAUGCCAAGAGACUGGGCCUUUUAUUUGCUGUUGGGAAGGGAACUCUCCUUUUUUUUUUCUUUCUUCCCUUUCCAAAGCAAAAAGCUCUGUAGUGUUUCUCUGGUCCCACACAGAAUGACGAAGAAAUAGCUGUAUUUUACAAAUGAAGAGACAGAACACCACACUAGGAAGACUUUGUUUUUAGACUCAUCUUCCAUGAGCUCCUAGUAUUGUGUGUACUUCCAGCACCAUGUAGUUGAUGCAUAAUUAAUGAGAUGCACAGCCUGUCAGCUCCUUGUGGCCUGCUCAACACUGCAGUGCAGAAACUGGGACACAAGUUAUGUCUUCCUACUGUAUCUCGGCCUUCUCCAGGCAGGUACCCUGACCUCCAGUGUGGAGACGGUCCAGCUGGCUCAAUUCACGUAAAGCCCAGUGAGAAAGACACAAGGAGGCCCCAGAAUAACUCUGAAACAUGUUUUUGGGUGCCAUCCUACAAGGUGAAAGAAAUGGGCUGAGCUGCUUUUAGGAAGAAAAGAGGGAUGAAUCCAGCACAUCACACACCAUGGGCAAGGACUCGAACUAUGGGUAUGAAAAUUCCCUUCAUUCUGAAUGGUGGCAGAAAGGCCCAGAAAAUGCUGAUCUUCUCAGCUGGUCCAGUCCAGGGAGGUUGAGGAAAGCCGACUUUGUGGCUUUCCUAGCAGGGUUUAGUUCCAGCUUUGGUGCAGCCAAGCCUCAGUCACAUCUGCAUCUGCUCGGUAAUAGAAAGCAAAGGCACACUGGCACUCCUGAGCCUGGGAAGCAGUUUCUGGUCCCUGGGCCAGUAAGUGCAGACUUGUUU